rnacentral:rRNA from 1 species
UACGGAGGGUGCAAGCGUUAUCCGGAUUCACUGGGUUUAAAGGGUGCGUAGGCGGGCAGGUAAGUCAGUGGUGAAAUCUCCGAGCUUAACUCGGAAACUGCCAUUGAUACUAUUUGUCUUGAAUAUUGUGGAGGUAAGCGGAACAUGUCAUGUAGCGGUGAAAUGCUUAGAUAUGACAUAGAACACCAAUUGCGAAGGCAGCUUACUACACAAUGAUUGACGCUGAGGCACGAAAGCGUGGGGAUCAAACAGG